rnacentral:misc_RNA from 1 species
UUUCCGUAGGUGAACCUGCGGAAGGAUCAUUAAAGUUAUAGUCCCCCUGCCCCUCCGGGCUGGGGUCUUCUAUACCACCCUUUGUUUAUUACACCUUUGUUGCUUUGGCAGGCCUGCCCUCGGGCUGCUGGCUCCGGCCGGCUCGUGCCUGCCAGAGGACCUAAACUCUGUUUGUAUAUGAAGUCUGAGUACUAUAUAAUAGUUAAAACUUUCAACAACGGAUCUCUUGGUUCUG